rnacentral:misc_RNA from 1 species
GCCUAGGAACCGUGUUUCAAUUCAAAUCCCUACUCCACACAGUGCCUUCACGUGUAUCUUGAUCUGGAAAGGUCAAAUCUUGAAUCCACAACCACAACCUCACCUUCCAAAAUUGUGCAAAAUUAUCUAUCAAAUCACUUACAAAACUCCAAUGAAGGAGCUUGCUCCCUUUGAUUGCCUUCUCCAAAUCUUGUGGCCCAAAAUAAAGUACAGUGAUGCUGCUUUUUGGAGUCUUCCUCCCAACAAAUCACCUUUUUUCUCAAUGUGUGUGUGUUAUGUAUAUAUAUAUAAUA